UGGUCUUGACAUCCACGGAAGUUUUCAGAGAUGAGAAUGUGCCUUCGGGAACCGUGAGACAGGUGCUGCAUGGCUGUCGUCAGCUCGUGUUGUGAAAUGUUGGGUUAAGUCCCGCAACGAGCGCAACCCUUAUCCUUUGUUGCCAGCGGUCCGGCCGGGAACUCAAAGGAGACUGCCAGUGAUAAACUGGAGGAAGGUGGGGAUGACGUCAAGUCAUCAUGGCCCUUACGACCAGGGCUACACACGUGCUACAAUGGCGCAUACAAAGAGAAGCGACCUCGCGAGAGCAAGCGGACCUCAUAAAGUGCGUCGUAGUCCGGAUUGGAGUCUGCAACUCGACUCCAUGAAGUCGGAAUCGCUAGUAAUCGUGGAUCAGAAUGCCACGGUGAAUACGUUCCCGGGCCUUGUACACACCGCCCGUCACACCAUGGGAGUGGGUUGCAAAAGAAGUAGGUAGCUUAACCUUCGGGAGGGCGCUUACCACUUUGUGAUUCAUGACUGGGGUGAAGUCGUAACAAGGUAACCGUAGGGGAACCUGCGGUUGGA
rnacentral:rRNA from 1 species